rnacentral:rRNA from 2 species
UACGGGAGGCAGCAGUGGGGAAUAUUGGACAAUGGGCGCAAGCCUGAUCCAGCCAUGCCGCGUGAGUGAUGAAGGCCUUAGGGUUGUAAAGCUCUUACACUAGUGACGAUAAUGACGGUACCUACAGAAGAAGCCCCGGCUAACUUCGUGCCAGCAGCCGUGGUAAUACGAAGGGGGCUAGCGUUGUUCGGAUUUACUGGGCGUAAAGCGCACGUA